CACGGACACACGGUCUUCUUCUUCGCCUCUACCGUGGAAUAUCCACACGGUCUUCUUCUUCGCCUCUACCGUGGAAUAUCCAUAAGCCAAGUCCACAUGCCUUAUGGCCACCGCCGGCGCCGUCGUUGACCGGCUCCUACGCCGGUUGGCCUCCGACGCUCGCCGGUCGGAGCUACCCUCGGGCGUAGACGAGCACGUGGCGCAUCUGUGGCGAACUCUGUCGGGGUUGCAAGAUGUGCUGCUAAGUGUGGAGAGAUAUUUUAGGGCGCGUACGGAGGUGCAGGAUUGGAUGGCGACGAUAAAUCAGAUUGUCUAUGAUUCUGAACAUCUCUUGGACGAGUUUGAAGACCAAAAUGGCAUCGGAUCUGAGAGGACCGGCUGUAUUACAAAGGCAACAUCAUUGUGUUCAUGUCCAUUUUUCUUGUACGAUACCAGAGUGAAUAGAAUGAAGAUACUCAGAAAAAGGUUGGAUCUUUUAGCAAGAGAUUCUGUGGUUUUCAGUUUGAUGCAGCACCCAAAGUUUGAUCUUGAGCAAUCUGAUAUCCAAGAAGAGUUCUAUAGAGCUGCAAUUGUUGGAAGAGAUAGUGACAAAGAAAAAAUAAAGGAAUUAAUGUUGGAAAAUGAUACAGAAACAUUGUCCAUCAUUCCCAUAGUUGGCCUUGUGGGUUUGGGGAAAACAGCUCUUGCCAGAUUAAUUUUCCAUGACCAGGGAGAAGGGUGGAAUUUAGAUCUUCGUAUUUGGAUCGACUUAAAUAGGAAAUUUGACCUUAAAAACAUUGCUGCUGAUAUAAUCUCACAAGCUAAUGGAACAAAAGAAGGACCCUCAGAAAUCAAUACCAACAUUCAGAUCCAUGAAAAUCUCCAAUUGCUAAAGGAUCGUUUGCAGAAGACACUUCAUGACAAACGUUGUCUAAUUGUCUUGGAUGACCUUUGUAGCAUAGAUAAAAGCCAGUUGGAUGAACUGAAGGAAAUGCUCAGGCGUACGAACAAGUGGAUCAAGGUUUUGGUGACCACUUCCAGUGAAAUAACUGCAGAACUAAUGCACACUUUCCCACCGUACAAGUUGUUUCCAUUGUCUGAAGAUGACUGUUGGGAAAUAUUUUCUGAAAAAGCUUUUGGGGAUGGAGGUAUUGUUAAUUCAUGCCUGAAGAAAAUUGGGAAGCAAAUUGUGAAAAGAUGUGAUGGAAUACCAUCUUUAGCUCAUUUUCUGGGUUCAGUAGUGCACAAUCAAGUCAUGGAUGUCUGGUUAGCAGCAAGGGAUGAACCAAUAUGUAAAUUAGAGAGCACAUAUUCCAUGAAAGUUAAAGUGUUUUCAUCACUGAAUCAAAUAUACUAUGACAUGCCCUCAGCGCUGAAACUAUGCUUUCUAUAUUUAUCAGUAUUUCCUAAGGGAUCUAUUAUUGAUAAAGAAAAACUUAUCAGACAGUGGAUUGCGCUUGAUAUUAUUGGAUCAAAACAUGGAACUUUGCCAUCCUAUGUGCAGGCGGAGAUGUACAUUCAGGACCUUCUGUCAAUACAUUUCCUCCAAGUCAGGAAGACACAUUCAGUUAAUGGAAUGGAGGUCAGUACGUCUCCUACAACACUCUACAUGCAUAACUUUGUCCAUGAAUUUGCAAGGCAUGUUGCUUGCAAUGAUAUUAUUAUUUUGGAUGAUAAAGAAAUGAAUGAUAAUGCAAAAGAGCUCUCCUUCCAAUAUGCAUUGUUGACCCAUUACAAAGGGCAAUCAACACUUUGCAGUGCACUGCUCACAAGGGCAAGGGCAUUACACUUUCUGAAUGCUGAGGCUAUAAAGCUCCAUCGAGAAGCAUUUGAAUUACUGAGGCAUCUGCGUGUUUUGAAUCUCAGUGGAAGCUGCAUUGAAGAAAUACCCGCUUCCAUUGGCCAUUUGAAACAUCUAAGAUACCUUGAUAUUUCUGGCUUAAAGGUUCAGAUAUUACCUUCCUCCAUGAGUACAUUGAUAAAUCUUGAGGCGUUGGAUCUAUCAAAUACUUCUCUCAAGGAGUUGCCCUCUUUCAUUGGUUCUUUAGAGAAGCUAAAAUAUUUGAACCUGCAAGGCUGUGACAUACUUCAAAACUUGCCUGCAACCCUUGGUCAUCUCCAAACACUUGAGCAUCUUAGGGUGUCAUGUCGUUAUGAUAUUGGUGAGCUAGCUGACUCUCUCUGCAAUCUUCAGGAUCUUCGGUUUAUUGAUUUGUCAAGCUGCACUGAGCUUCCACAGUUGCCUUGUUCAUUUGGUAAUUUAAUGAAAUUGGAGGAUCUAAACCUAUCUAGUUGCUUCAACCUCAAGCAGCUACCAGAAUCUUUUGGCAACCUUUAUUUUCUUAGGUCUCUGAACAUGUCGAGCUGCUAUGAGCUCGAACAAUUGCCUGGAUCUUUUUGUAAUCUCGUCAAGUUGGAAGUCCUUAUACUUAGGAGGUGUCAUAGACUUCAAAACCUCCCUCCGUCCUUCGGGAAUAUCGAGAACCUUCGAAUUUUGGAUCUAACUGGCUGCGAGGCACUUCAUGUAAGUGUUGGGAUGUUAACAACCAAUUUGGAGUAUCUGAAUCUACAGCAAUGUCUUAAGCUGCCGACUCGGCCUAACUGUUUAAAUAACUUCACUGGACUGAAGUUUUUGAAUCUCUCACAGUGCAUCCCUACCAUUGACUGUCUGCAAUCUCUUGGCUACUUGUUCAAUCUAGAAUAUCUGAACUUGUCGCAAAAUCCUCUCGUCAUACCUUUGUCUUUUGUGAGGCUUCAGAAGCUGCAUACGUUGGACCUCACUGGUUGUGCUCUUGAGCAUCCAUCCCAUAGUUUACCUCAAAUGUUCCUAGAUAUCAUACAUAAAAUGACAGGACUGAAAUUUCUGUUGACGAAAGAUCCAAUGAUAGUGGCCUGUCUUCCACCAUACAUCCGGUGCUCUGUUAGGAUUGAUGAAAACUGGCACUUAGCGACCGACGAGCUUGUUAUUCCAGACCUCACAAGAGGGUCCAGGGGCUUAACUAUUGCAGAGAGAGCAAAUCUGAAGAAUCGACCAGAGCUACGUUUCCUUAAGCUGGAGUGGACUAAUACUUCUCAUCCAGCUGUACAUGGAAUAGAUGAAGAUUUAGGUGAAGAAGUUAUGGAAAAGCUCCAACCACACCAGAGUUUAGAGCAUUUUGAGCUAGUUGGGUAUUCAGGAUUUGCAUGGCCUACAUGGAUGAUGAACAACAUGGUGACUUUACUCCCCAACGUUGUCAGACUCCAUCUGCUCUGCCUUGGAAACUGUAAAGAUCUUCCUCCACUGGGCCAGCUAAUAAAUUUGCGGCACUUGCAUAUAGAAGAUAUGCCUAACCUCGUAAAUCUAGGUAUGGGUCUUUCUGGGGGCACACAGCCCUUCAAGAAAUUAUUACACCUCAAAUUGGAAAAUUUACUAAACCUAGAAGAGUUGCCUAUAUUGUUGUUGACAAACAAUGGGAAUCAGCAGUUCUUGUUCCCUGCUCUUGAGGAAUUGUCCGUGCUAUCGUGCCCUAAUCUUAUGUUCAAACCAUCUCUGCCGAAGUGUCAGAAAUAUGGAAUAAAAGAUAGUAACAUGAUUCUGUCAUGUGGGGAACCUUUGGGGCCAUGGUCAUCUCCAUCACCAGCAAACAUAAUGAUUACUGGGUGCAGGAUAUCUUCCAGUUGGUUGCAAUGGCUUGAAUCCUUGCAGACUAUCGAGAAAAUAGUAAUUGAUGCAUGUGUGGGGGAUGAUGGUGAAGCAGUAACCUCUUUCAAGCUCCUAGGGGUAAAAUGCACUCAAGAAUCAUCCAGUAGAAAGAUUCCGAAUGAAAAAAGGAACCAAAGUUCAUCUGGGACAAGGAUUUUAAAUGAAUUGACCACUCAGGAUGAUGCCUAUAUGAAUACUCGCCAUGUUGUGGACGUGGACUCAUCGGGCUGGCAAUCCUCCGGUGAACCAUCCUUGAUAUCUUUACAGCAAAACCCAGUCACAACAGGCCUUGGUACCUCAAUAAUCCGGAAACUUUUCCCCAAGUUUAAUACCAGUUUGGGACAAUCAGUGGAGCGUAUUACAUCCUCUGCAGUAAGCAUGCCAUCACUGGAGACUCCACCAACCUCUCGCCAGCUGUCUAGGUCCAAAAUGCCUGCACAAAUACCUCGAGUACGAUCCUUGAGCUUAAGCCUUAAGCAGGUUCAGAAGGCUACUCGGAGAUUUUCACCUGCACUUAAGCUAAGUGAAAGUGGAUCCUGGGAAGUCUACAAGGGUAUCUUACCAAAUAACCAAAUUGUUGCCGUGAGGAGAGCUAAAAAGGGCUGUGAUCGUGCUGCGGAAGUUCACAAGAAAGUGCAGCUCCUUACAGCAAUUAAUCACUGGAGUUUGGUGAGGUCUCUAUGUUUUAUUGAUAAAGGAAAUCAGUUUAUUAUGAUCAGUGAGUAUGUUCCAAAUGGCAGUCUAAGGCAGCACCUGGAUGGCCAACAUCAGAAAAUCCUGGAUUUGGAUCAACGCAUAUCGAUCGCUAUUGAUGUUGCUAUUGCCUUGACUUAUCUUCAUUUAUGUGCUGGGGAAACAAUGAUCUGUUAUGAUUUAAAGACUACGAAAAUCCUUCUGACAGAGAGUUAUAGAGCAAAGUUGGGUACUUUUGAAUUGUCAGGAAGUGGUGACAUGGAUAAAGUGAUAGGGACAAUUGGCUACAUAGAUCCACAAUACAACCGUUACUGUGAGCUGACAGUUAAAUCUGAUGUCUACACUUUUGGUGUAAUACUCUUAGAAAUUAUAUCUUCCCGUGGACCGCAAAUGUGGGAUCAAGACAUGCGAGACUCAGGGAUCUUUGACAACCAUCUUGGCCCUGGCAUUGCGGCAUGGGCUCUCGAGAGAUUUAAGGCAGGCCACGUCAGUGAGAUAUUGGAUGACCGUUUGGCGGAUCAUGUGGAUGAAGAAUUUCUUGGAGACUGGCUUGGUUUAGCAUCCUGGUGUACAAGUUUCGAAGUGGAUGAUCGCCCAAGAAUAGAGGAGGUAGGGGAGCGGCUGUGGGAAAUAUGGAAAGACCACAGAAAUCGCAUAGGACAGCCGUACGAGUACGAGAGGAGUUGGGAAGAAUUUGUGAAAGUGGAGGGGAUACCCUGGGGUGUCAAUUCCAGAGACAAGAGCAGCGGGCAUGCGGAGUUUCCUGCAGAAGGGAAGGUGACAAAGCACCAGUAUUCGCCUGAUGUGAGCAGUCCACAGUUGCAAAUGACCCAGUACGACGCUUCUCCUAUCGGUUCUGAUAUUACACUUUCUCCUCCACUCUCUCCCCGGUAGAAAUCAGCAGUUUCGGUUUUGCGCCUGACUGGUAAAGUAGGCGACAAGCUGGACCCUGGAACUUUCGCAGCACUGUGACCUUGAGCCCCUGACAAUCCUUUGUCAUGAACUCCGCUGCUGUAACCCUCUGCUGACUGGUUACACUUGUACAGUACAAUUCUCAUCGGCCAUGGACGAGCUGUGCUAAGCUGACAAAACCGGGCUGCUACGACUCUGAACUCCGUCCAUGCCCGUUGUGCAUGGUGAUUCGAGGCCAUUGACAUCGCCAGGAAGCUUACUGGAGGGCUGCAAGGAAUCUGCCGUGUUCCCUACAGGAUUGCCUUCCGCACGUCCCUUGCCCUGAAUUGGAUCCUUUUAUGUGUUCUGCUGCUGCAAUCCAGAAACGCUGCAGAGUUUGAUUGUAGUUUUGAGGGUAGAAGAGCCCACACUAUUGUCUUCUUCACAGCGCCUGGUUGGGUUUGUUUUGCUCAGUUAAUUGGCACUUUGGUUGCUGGAAACUGCCAACAUGGGUUCUGAGUUUGGGAACUGUUAAUGCAUGAUCCUUCCAGUAUGGACAAUAUGCAUAGAUUGAUGUGUCGUCCAACCCGUUUGCCGGCGACAGCUCGGCGUUCUCUGUGUAGUUGUAGGAGUCUAGGUGAGGACUGCCUACUACUGGUGAUAAGAUGAUCAUGGGCGCACAGCCGGUUAUUUCCAUCUCGCUUUACUGAACCCACGAUGAGUUUUCUGCGCAUGUGGCUGGUUUAGUUAAAUUACUAAUUCAUAUACAGAACUUCUACUUCAACCUGAUCAAGCUUCUGAGCUGUUGCACUUCGAGAAUAUUCAACUGUUUUUAUGUACCUGAUGCAUCCAAGAAGCAGGCAUACAAUAGAAGUACAAUCACGGCACCUUUCAUCUUUUUCCUGUGGCAAGUGACCAACAUGCAGAUUUACUUUCAGAACCAAAAUAUUGUAGUGUUGCACACACCAUGGAGUCUGGUGAUACUUCUUUAACCAGACAUUGCACUGGAUCUGCAGGGUCUUCUUUUUUCCAUCCGCACUCAAAUGUUAGUUCAUUGGCUACAACUUAAAUUAGAAUUAAGCAAUCCUAAUUAAUUUUUUUAACUAGACCUUAUUAAAAUUGUACAUGUAAGUACAACAUUCCUCCAUAUUACAGGUAUCUAUUUCUUCCUUUUCAUUGCCGACAAAAACUGGCAUUCUUAAUUUUACUGCUUACGUGUACAACAUGCCUCCAUAUCGUUAGGCACUCCUUAUUUUUAGC
rnacentral:rRNA from 1 species